rnacentral:rRNA from 1 species
GAUGAACGCUGGCGGCGUGGAUAAGGCAUGCAAGUCGAGUGGGUUUAGACCCACGGCAAACGGGUUAGUAAUACAUAGGAACAUUCCCAAAAGUCAUGAAUAACUCGGAGAAAUCCGAGAUAAUACAUGAUGUGCUCUACGGAGUAAAGGUUUACCGCUUUUGGAGUGGCCUGUGUCCUAUCAGCUUGUUGGUGAGGUAAUAGCUCACCAAGGCAAUGACGGGUAGGGGAUGUGAGAGCAUGGUCCCCAACAUUGGAACUGAGACACUGUCCAAACACCUACGGGUGGCUGCAGUCGAUAAUAUUCCACAAUGGGCGAAAGCCUGAUGGAGCGACGCCGCGUGCAGGAUGAAGGCCUUCGGGUUGUAAACUGCUUUUUUUGGGGACGAAUUUCGUGACGGUACCCAAAGAAUAAGAGGUUACUAACUCUGU